AUACCUUAUUACACCAUUAUACAAUACAGGUUACUACAACAUUAUAAAUAGUAAUUUAAUUUUCAUUGCUUCGCUCUUAAUUGCACGCAACAUAAACUUUUCUUUUUGCAACAAUAAAAAAAAAUAAAAGUGUCAUCUUGCGCUUGACAUGAAAAGCCUGGCCAUGUGCUCGAUGAUGACGCUGGUUUCCCAAAAAACACUUCUGCGUGUUUACCAUUCCAAUAUGCAGUUGUGCAGAUGGCGUGACUGGAAAAAGCUGGAAUUGGUAUGUGAAUUUUCCAGUUUAUUCAUGGAACAAAGUGAAUCGGAAUUGACCCGUCGUCAUCGUCGUCGCAUUCGCAAAGGGACAGCGACAGGGAAUAUUCGAGAUGGUUUUCUCUGUUGCUGCUUCUAGUUUCCAAACGCUCAGAGCGCCACAGAAGCCGCUCCGGCUUCCUUUCCUACAUGACGUGGCUUUCGUACAUUUCAUAUUGAAUUAAUCAUUUCCCAAGGGAGGAGUUUCUUUUGCCAGUAUGGCGAGCGGUAGGCGUGUCCAUGGAUAGAAUUUUGAUUUUCUCAGUGGAAACGAAAACAAUAAUUUUCUAUUUGCAUUAGCAGGGGUUAAAAUUCGGAGAGGGAGAAUACAUAAAUGAUAAUACGUAUAAUAAUGCUGAGAGUAUGUGGUAAAGUGUUUGUGGGAUGUAUGUGUUAAAGCCGGAUUUAAUUUGGUGAUAAGAAACUAUCAUGGCUGCCGUCUUUCGGGGAUGUCGGAUGGAGUGGUGGUUAAUCGGCAAAAUGCCUACGGUUUUUUCAUUGUCUAUUUGUGACUUUCGAGCGAGAGGUGAAGUAAGAAAAUACAGGUAGACACAUAUUAUUCAGGUAUUUAGUUGGUGAUGAAAUGAAGUGCGAUUGCUUAAUAAAAUAUUUUUGAAUCUAUGCUGAUUUCUGGUUGAUAUUAAAUAUGCACAAACUUUUAAUAAUAUUAAGGAAAGCAAGUUGUCGGGAGUUUUACAAACCUUGUGGUUGGUACCUAUUUAAAUGCUUUGAAUUCAAAUAUAUAUAGAGUUAUGAUAACUUAGGCAAUGCAAAAAUGUUAUGCAUUCUUGUAAAAGAAUUAUACACAAUACACCUCCAAUCAUCAUUACGCCUUUUUUUUGUGAUUAAAUGCGUAAUGCAGUGUAGUUCGAGAAAUUGCCAUUGAAAAACGAUCGCAGUAGUCUGUUUUUUUAAUACCUAGUGUAGUUUUAAUAUUUGAAAGUUGAUACAAUGUUCCAUUACUUAUUGUCAUACUAAUUUAAGACAAGUGAAAUUCAGACGAGAUCUAAUUUUAACUUAUAAAUUAUAGAAUUUUAAAAGGAAUAUUAUAUGAGAAGAUAUUAGGAAUAAUUUAUAUUAAUUUUUUUUAUGUUUUCUUUUAAGUAAAUUGAAGUUGAAUGAAAAAAGGACUAAAGGAAAGGGGUUCGUUCGUAGAUUAUGAUCUUACUGUGUGUAGACCUUCGCGUGAAACAGACGGCACUCUAUUUGUUAACACUUACUUUUUGCAAAAUAACAAACAAAUAUUACUCUUACAGCUUAUGUGUCUUAAACUUUGCCAACUUAUUCGAAUCAGCUAAAUUAAAAAUUAUAAUUUAUUAUAUAAAAGAAGAAUAAAAGCUGAAGAAAAGGGAAACGUUCGUAGAUUAUGCUAAAAUUUGUGCGUAGAUCAUCAUUUGCAAUAGAUGGCGCUGAAAUUAUUUAAAUUUAUUUAUUAUAAAAAAUAAGUAAAAGACAAAGACGCAAAAUGAUCUUAACAUUGAAAACAAAUUCUGUAAAGUAUGAGAAUUUAUCUUCAGUUUAAGAAAGCAUAAUUUCUCAACUUCAGGCUAACUUAAUUUGAACCAUGGAAAAUAUACAAUCGAGCAACAAUGGUACGUGGUGGCAAUUUCAAUUGGCCGCCAAGAUCAUUUGAUCUUACAUCGUUGGACUUAUUUCUGUGGGGUUAUUUAAAAGAAAAUGUGUUCUUCGAUAAGCCAGUAAUAAUAAGGAAAAGAUAAUUCGAAACAUUAAAGGCAUAAAACGUUAAUUAUGCCUCAGCGUCAUCGAUAAUUUGGACCAUCGGAUGGACGUUUGGCGGCGGCCAUUUAGCACAUAUUUUGUUCCAUGCAAUAUUAUCACAAUUAAAAGAAUAAAUUACAAUAAUUUCCUAAAUGAUUAGUGGUUUAUUCAAGAUCAAUAUCGACCCUUAAAUUUUAGAUGAAACAGAUGUCUUAGGCGAAGUUUUGAAGAAAUCCCAAUUACUCCAACUUCCAUUGUGAUACCCAAAAAACAUGGACCUAUGAGAGGGACAGUUUGUUUAUGGGCUCUGUAAAAGUCCUACACUGAUCAUAUGAAUGUACCAGAAAGCUAAGGAAAUUCAGAAAAAAUACCAUCUCCUGACUCUGUUACUAAAAUAUCGAUGACAAGAGAAAUACCUCAUCGUCACCAACCUAAAGAAGAAAAAUAGCUUUAUUUUUGGUUGAUUUAGAUGAUACGAGUAGUUUCAAAUCCUCAACAGACGAAAAUACGCCUCUAAAUCAUCAGAAUAAAAUACAAAAUUUUUUGGAAAUUGUACAUAGAUACGUUUGCGACGCAGAUUUUAAAAACCACUUUCGGCUUUAUGGGUCAAUUGUCCACAUUUUGAUAGGCCAGAUUCUUCUUCGAUUAAAAAUAAAAUCAAAUUUGAUGAAUGCAAUACGAGAUAGGUACAUUUAAUUUCCAAAUUACUUACAAUUUAUUUGUGUUUUCCAUUUUGUGUGGUUGCAGAUUAGGGAAUUUACUUACUUUGUUUGACAUUAAAAAGCAGGGUUGCCCAAACAUUUUAUUUCAUGAAUUUUUUGUUGUUCUUUUUACGGAAAAUUGAUAUCCAUUAAUUGGGCUAAAUAUACAUUUUUUGCAUUUAUUCAUUUUAAGUUCAUUAAUAUAUGUUUUAUUUUGUCAGAAGUUUUUGUUUUGUGUGUUUGAUAUAAAAAGUAAAUAAAAAUGAAAUUGCUUACUUACUAUUUAAAAUAUUUUUUUUUUUUAGUCGGAUGGAAAUGUAACAAUGGCAAUACGGGUUAUAUUUUAAAUAGUUGGUAGUGAUACCAAAAUUUACAUGUUAUAUUACGAAUUGCAUCCUUCUCUGUGCGAAAUAGCGAAAUAAAUUUUGGAUUUCAAAUUAAGAUCCAAACACAAAGCUGGAUCUUGAUUUGUUGUUGUAAUGCAUGUAAAUCCAUGAUCUGGAUUAGAUCAUGGUAUGAUAAUAAAACGCUGCUAAUGAAAUCGUUUUCAAUGAACAGCUGAUUUUCGAUUUUAAAAUUCGCAAGGAAAUUGUUCCAAUGAUGUCCUUCCAUAUUCUUUCUACCUCAUUUGCUUUAAAUGGUUAUCAGGAACAUAUUUUCAAUCAUGUAUAAAUUUUCAAUUAAUUAUAUUUAACCGACUUGUUAAGAAAAAUCAAUGAAUGGAAAUCCAUUAGUUUCUAAUUUUAAAGUUUUGAAACAUCAGAUAGUAUAUUUUGAAGCAGAACUAAGUUUAUAAACCCGGAAUAAAAUGACCGAGUUAAAGUCUUUUUCUGACGUCGACGAUGUUUUAACCUACAAGUGUACACCUGCAUCACAAUUUAAUUUUGUUUCUUUAUCGUUGUCAUACCUGCAAAAAACGCAACGGGAAGGUUUUUUUUUAACAAUCUGUUGUCCGACUAAGAGAAUUAUAUUCACUAAGAUGUGGUUGGUGGCUCUGCCCGCGUCUGAGCAAGAAAGUGACUGCAUAAGUUGUCCGGUCAUGUCGGUUUUAGCCUAAGAAAGGCGUUGAUAGAGUUUUCAUACUGUUUACUCCCUGAGAUUUUAAUCUCAGACUCCAAAGAUGA